CGGGGGGAGCAAGCGUUGUUCGGAUUUACUGGGCGUAAAGGGCGCGUAGGCGGCCAGCGCAAGUCAGUUGUGAAAUCUCCGGGCUUAACUCGGAAAGGUCAACUGAUACUGCGCGGCUAGAGUGCAGAGGGGGCAACUGGAAUUCUCGGUGUAGCGGUGAAAUGCGUAGAUAUCGAGAGGAACACCUGCGGCGAAGGCGGGUUGCUGGGCUGACACUGACGCUGAUGCGCGAAAGCCAGGGGAGCGAACGGGAUUAGAUACCCCGGUAGUCCUGGCCUUAAACGAUGGAUGCUUGGUGUCUGGAGUUUUAUAGUCUCCGGGUGCCGCAGCUAACGCGUUAAGCAUCCCGCCUGGGGAGUACGGUCGCAAGACUG
rnacentral:rRNA from 1 species